rnacentral:RNase_P_RNA from 1 species
GCCGCUCCCCGGAUGAUCGCGGUUCGUUUCUUCGGAGGCGGGUCGAGGAAAGUCCGGACACCAAAGGGCAGCGUGCCUUGUGAAAACGAGGGACGGGCUUCCGCGAGGAACCCGGACGGAAAGUGCAGCAGAAAACAAACCGCCCUGAUUCGUCGGGGUAAGGGUGAAAAGGUGAGGUAAGAGCUCACCGCUCCAGAGGUAACAAUGGAGGCACGGUAAACCCCGCGCGGUGCAAGACAGAACAGGAGAAGGGUCGCCCGCCCGUUGAAUCUCCGGGUAUUAGUCGCAGUCCACUCCGGUGGGCUCCCGCUUCGGCGGGAAGAGAAAUGAUCGUCGAAUCCCGCAAAGGCGGGAGGAACAGAAUCCGGCUUACAGGGGAGCGGUCGCC